rnacentral:SRP_RNA from 1 species
CGCACCGCCACAGGGUAGAAAUGCCGCAGGAAAAAUUGACCUUGCGGUACUCAGCCCCUG